rnacentral:rRNA from 1 species
UCCGGUUGUGUCGCCAGACGCAUUGCCGGGUAGCUACGUUCGGACGGGAUAACCGCUGAAAGCAUCUAAGCGGGAAGCCCCUCCCAAGAAUAGUUCUCCCUGUCCCUUGAGGACUCUGAAGAGCCGUCCAAGACUAGGACGUUGAUAGGCUGGGUGUGGAAGCGCUGUAAAGCGUUGAGCUAACCAGUACUAAUUGCUCGUGAGGCUUGACCAUAUAAUCCA